CUUUUGAGAGGAAACAGAUUGAACGCUUGUCCGAAUGCUUUACACAUGCAAGUCGAACGAUGAUUUCUAGCUUGCUAGAAUGAUUAGUGGCGAACGGGUGAGUAAUGUAUCGGAACGUAUCCAUAAUGGGGGAUAACUAAUCGAAAGGUUGGCUAAUACCGCAUACGCCCUACGGGGGAAACGCAGGGGUAUCUUCGGGACCCUUGCGUUAAAUGGAGCGGCCGAUAUCUGAAUUAGCUAGUUGGUGGAGGUAAAAAAGCUCCACCCAAGGCGACGGAUCAGUAGCUGGUCUGAUGAGGACGACCCAGCCCACACUGGAACUGAGACACGGUCCAUACUCCUACGGGAGGCAGCAGUGGGGGAAUUUUGGACAAUGGGCGAAAGCCUGAUCCAGCCAUUCCGCGUGAGUGAAGAAGGCCUUCGGGUUGUAAAGCUCUUUCGCAAGGGAAGAAACGAUGCAGUCGAAUAAACUGUGUUAAUGACGGAACCUUGAUAAGAAGCACCGGCUAACUACGUGCCAGCAGCCGCGGUAAUACGUUAGGGUGCAAGCGUUAAUCGGAAUUACUGGGCGUAAAGCGUGCGCAGGCGGUUUUGUAAGUCAGAUGUGAAAAUCCCCCGAGCCUCAACUUGGGGAACUGCGCUUGAAACUACAAGACUAGAAUAUGUCAGAGGGGGGUAGAAUUCCACGGGUAGCAGUGAAAUGCGUAGAGAUGUGGAGGAAUACCAAUGCGAAGGCACCCCCUUGGGAUAAUAUUGACGCUCAUGCACGAAAGCGUGGGGAGCAAACAGGAUUAGAUACCCUGGUAGUCCACGCCCUAAACGAUGUCUACUAGUUGUUGGUGGAGUAAAAUCCAUGAGUAACGCAGCUAACGCGUGAAGUAGACCUCCUGGGGA
rnacentral:rRNA from 1 species